rnacentral:lncRNA from 1 species
UUAAUUUCAUCAUUCGCCGCCUGAAGAGACAAGAUGGCGGAGCUUGUGAAAUCGAAAAUUGGUACUUGAAAGUCAAUGGUUGAUCAUGAUGACCAUCUUUAAUUUAAUGGGGAAAGAUUAACCAAUAUUUGCAGCUGGAGAGGCUAUCACCACAGUUCAAUGAUUUAGUUAAGACAAUGAAAUAAAAGAACUUCAUGCUAACACUUGCAUCAGUGGAAGUACUUCUUAUUGGAUAGAGAACUUUACAAGGUCAGCCAUCAGCUUUUGAAGUUGCUUUCUUGGCACAUCAUGCUGUCCAGUGGAGUUCAUACCAUAUGCCAGGCCUUUAUACCUGGUCAAAGAAGAUGAAUUUGUUAUUCAAUUUGUGAAAUUUGAUUUAAGGAGGACUUUCAUAUAUGAUGAUUAUAUUCAGCAGAUUAUCUUCAAGUGUGCACUUCACUAGAAUCACAGUUUCUAGGAGGUUUUCAGUUAAAAGUUAGAUUAAUUGAAAAAUAAGUAAACCUAUCAUACUCACCAUGGCAUCGGCAUUGGCAUUACAUCAGUUCUAAGUUUUUCUUACCAGUCCAUAUUUUAAAAGGACCUUUUGAAAGUAUUGAAACUUACAACAGUAAUUUAUCAUCAUUAUACCAUGUUUUAGGCAAAAGUACAUAACUCCAUCAAGGAUUUGACUGAACUAUGGCCCUUUGAAACUUUUGUCACUUGUUUAAGUUUCAUAAAAGAUCGUUUCUUUAAUAUGAUUUUCCAUAUAGAAUCUAACUCCCAUCCAGUUUAAACCCAUCCAGUUUGUUAAACACUUCUUGAAAAAUAUUUUUAAAGAGUCUUAGAGUUUCAUACCCGAUAACAUCAACAUAGUGGGUU